rnacentral:pre_miRNA from 7 species
CAUAGUCAUUACAGUUUUUGAUGUUGCAGAUACUGCAUCAGGAACUGACUGGAUAAGACUUAAUCCCCAUCAGUUCCUAAUGCAUUGCCUUCAGCAUCUAAACAACCACCAGCAAACAC